AACAUUUUUCUUUCCUUCUGGUAAUUUGGAAUCCUUGCUACCAUCUGGCAAUUUUCUUUCCAGCGUCCUACACACACAAUAGAGCCCACACCCCUCAAAACCCCCUUGACUAACCCAGAUGACAGCAAGAAUGCCCUAUAAGCCAAGGUGAGGCCUUCUGUCUCCUCCAGCCUUCUGCUCUGAAACCAUACCGACUUCUCAGAGUGAUACCAAAGGAGGGUCUCCCGGGCAAGCUUCGCAGCCUCUACAGCCUUCGUCUGAGACUCCUGCAGCUCCGACGGGCCUGUCGCCACGGUAAUCAGCUACCUCCUGACCCCGCUGCUUUCUGAGACUGCCUGUCUAAUCUGAGGUGGGAAUGUCCCCGGAGGCAGACCCCAGACUGGCAGCUCUUCACUCUGACCCAACUCAGAAGCAAAUAUCCAGCUGGAAGCUUUUGCUUGCUGGGGUGGAAGGGCCUCUUUAACCGCAGGAGGAGUCUGAUGAAUUCUGGGCUCAAAAGGGUGUUGCUUUUUUUCCCCCAACAGACAUGCUCUCCAAUCCCCAAACCAGCCCCUGGUGAAAGUUGGCCUUUUAGCCUUUUGUAUCACAUUCUCUGUUGUUUAUAAUGCUGAGCGAAGAUGGGAGGGAACAAUAACGCCAGAGGAUUUGGGUGAUCUUCCUGUCAGUAGGGAGGUAUGUGGAAAAAGAAGGCAUGGAGAGAGGGAGCAGAAAGCCAGCUUCAUGGGAUCUGUUGACAUCUAAUGGCUGGAACAGAUUGCUUCAGCUCACAGGAACACAGAGCACCAUAAAUGGGUGUUGAUUUCAAUCUUAAAGGAACAACUCCUUCCCACAGGAAAGCAGGUGGCUAAUAGUACCCACAAGACCCUUAUACACUGUACCUAUUUAAUUCUUCAGUCAUAUAAAGGCAAAGAAAGAACCACUUCAAAGAUGAGCUUUUUAAAAAAGGUCACCAUUUCUCUGUUGGGAAUUGUCACAGGGGAGUAAUAUGGAUCCUGAAUAAAUUGCCACCCACCCGGAACUCACCCAGAAGGGGAGCCACGCAAGGGAGGCCCUCACAUUUGCUGGGGCAUCCUGAGGGCUGACAGCUGGUCAUGGUCGCAGUGACCGUGGACAAGUCUCCGGACUUGGUUCCUUCCCGUCCACAUGGAGAGGCUGGGUGGAUGAGACAGGAGGACCCAGGCCAGCCCUGUGACAUCAGUGAGAGAGCACGGGCUGUGUCUCCAGGUCUUGGCUGGUGUCUGGAAUAGUGAAGAUGCUCUCUGAAUGUUUGUCAUGCAAAUAGAUAAAUGAUAGUAUUUCAUUUUGACUUUUAUCUCCAUAGAGAUUUUCUUUUGCCUCCUCCGGGUCUCCGUAUGAGGGAGGAAGGGAAGAAGCUCGGAGAUACUCUUUCUGAGAGGAUGCCCUGCUCUGGGUCCUCGCAGAACUGACCACCCAGCUGGGAAGGAAAGUCCAGCAUCGCUGGUACCCAGUGCCCUCACUAACCCUGAGACUGGGAGAGCCAAAGGGGCCACACAAUGCCGUCAUUCCCAGGAGGAGAGAUGUCAGGUUGCGGGCUCCAAUUUUCUGUCUAAGCCCCCCGUGUCCUGACAUGAGCACCAACUGGUCACCAGCAUUGACAGAGCUGUGAAUCACUAGUGCACCAAAUCUGUGCUCCUGCAGACCAAGCUCCAAGCCUCUGAUGGCCUCCGAGCUACUGUCUUGCCAUCCCAGAGAGUAACACAGAGUUAGUACUUGGCAAAUACAUUUUUUAAACUUUUUAUUUGACAUAAUGAUAAAGAAAAGUUGCAAAAAAAUACAAAGCUCCCAUAUAUCCUCCACCCAUCUUUCCCUUAUGUUAACAGCUCAUAAAAUCAUAGUAAAAUUAUUGAAGUUUUAGGAUAUUAUCAUUGAUCCUAUACUCUUGACUAUAUACAGACUUUAUUUGAAUUUCACCAAUUGUUCCACUGUGAUAUUGCGAUUUAUAAUACAAAAUUAUGAAAUAGAUAUUUGGUCUUUGUCCCAUUCUUGACACAGAGCUCCUAAAAGCAGGAGUUUCCUUUGGUGAAAGAGAUCAAGGUGUCUUUUGUUUUGUUAAAGACAUAACUUUUGGAAAGUCCCCAGGUAGCCUGAGGAUGGGUCUGGUUGCCAGGGGAACUGACUCUGUGGUUAAAGGGUUGGCAUUUUCAGUCCCUCCCCAACCUCAGGGAGAGGAGACGGGCUGGAGAUUGAGAUCACUUACCAAUGGCCAAUGAUUAAUCAACCAUGCCCAGUUAAUAAAGUCUCCAUAAAACCCAAAAGAUGUGAUUAGAAUUUGGAGAGCUUCUGGGUGGGUGGACAUGUGGAGAUGCUGGGGUGGGGGCACGGAGCUCUGUGGCCCUUCCGUGUACGUGGCCUGUGCAUUUCUUCCACCUGGCCAUUCCUGAGUUCUAUCCUUUUAUAAUAAACAGGCAGUCUAGUAAGUAUAAUGUUUCUCUGAGUUCUGGGAGCUGCUCUAGCAAAUUAAUGGAGCCCAAGGAGUAGGUCCCAGGAACCUCUAAGUUACAGCACAUUGGUGAGAAACACAGGUGACAACCUGGACUUGGGGUGGGCAUCUG